rnacentral:rRNA from 1 species
UGCACAAUGGGCGCAAGCCUGAUAGCAGCGACGCCGCGUGAGGGAUGACGGCCUUCGGGUUGUAAACCUCUGUUAGCUCGAAGAAGCGAAAGUGACGGUAGGUGCAGAGAAAGCGCCGGCUAACUACGUGCCAGCAGCCGCGGUAAUACGUAGGGCGCGAGCGUUGUCCGGAAAUUAUUGGGCGUAAAGAGCUUGUAGGCGGUUGGUCGCGUCUACUGUGAAAGGCUGGGGCUUAACCCUGGUUUUGCAGUGGGUGCGGGCUAACUAGAGUGCAGUAGGGGAGACUGGAAUUCCUGGUGUAGCGGUGGAAUGCGCAGAUAUCAGGAGGAACACCGAUGGCGAAGGCAGGUCUCGGGGCUGUAACUGACGCUGAGAAGCGAAAGCAUGGGGGAGCGAACAGGAUUAGAUACCCUGGUAGUCCAUGCCGUAAACGUUGGGCACUAGGUGUGGGGGACAUUCCACGUUUUCCGCGCCGUAGCUAACGCAUUAAGUGCCCGCCUGGGGAGUACGGCCGCGAGGCUAAACUCAAGAAUUGACGGGGGCCCGCACAAGCGGCGGAGCAUGCGGAUUAAUUCGAUGCAACGCGA